CCAAAUGUAGAUCUGGGUAACUCUCGCUUAUCACAAGCGGAUGCAGGGAUUGCCGUGUCGCAAGACCGGCUCUCUUUGAAUUUCCAGGUCUAUGUACUUUAUACACCCCAAUCGUAUAAUGAAGAAUGUAGUCAAUGGGCUCUAAGCCUAUAAAACAAUAUACAACUUUCAGCAACGGAUCUCUUGGCUCUCGCAUCGAUGAAGAACGCAGCGAAAUGCGAUAAGUAAUGUGAAUUGCAGAAUUCAGUGAAUCAUCGAAUCUUUGAACGCACCUUGCGCUCCUUGGUAUUCCGAGGAGCAUGCCUGUUUGAGUGUCAUUAAAUUCUCAACCUCAUCAGUUUUGUUAUGAAGCUGUGUGAGGCUUGGAAGUGGGGGUUUGUGCAGGCUGCCUCAGUGCGGUCUGCUUCCCUGAAAUGUAUUAGCGAGUUCCAACUGGGCUCCGUCUAUUGGUGUGAUAAUUAUCUACGCCGUGGAUUGGGCUUAGACUUGCUUCUAACCGUCCGCAAGGACAAUCUUUUGACAAUUUGACCUCAAAUCAGGUAGGACUACCCGCUGAACUUAAGCAUAUCAAUAAGCGGAGGAAAAGAAACUAACAAGGAUUCCCCUAGUAACUGCGAGUGAAGCGGGAAAAGCUCAAAUUUAAAAUCUGGUGGUCUUUGGCCAUCCGAGUUGUAAUCUAGAGAAGUGUUACCCGCGUCGGACCGUGUACAAGUCUCCUGGA
rnacentral:rRNA from 1 species